rnacentral:piRNA from 1 species
UAUUUAAAACAAGGUGCAAAUAAUCAGA